AGAGUUUGUAACACCCGAAGCCGGUGGCGUAACCUUUAGGGAGCGAGCCGUCUAAGGUGGGACAAAUGAUUAGGGUGAAGUCGUAACAAGGUAGCCGUAGGAGAACUUGCGGCUGGAUCACCUCCUUUCUAAGGAAACAGACUGAAAGUCUGACGGAAACCUGCACACACGAAACUUUGUUUAGUUUUGAGGGGACGACCCUCAAGCACCCUAACGGGUGCGACUUUGUUCUUUGAAAACUGGAUAUCAUUGUAUUAAUUGUUUUAAAUUGCCGAGAACACAGCGUAUUUGUAUGAGUUUCUGAAAAAGAAAUUCGCAUCGCAUAACCGCUGACGCAAGUCAGUACAGGUUAAGUUACAAAGGGCGCACGGUGGAUGCCUUGGCACUAUGAGCCGAUGAAGGACGGAACUAAUACCGAUAUGCUUCGGGGAGCUAUAAGUAAGCUUUGAUCCGGAGAUUUCCGAAUGGGGGAACCCAGUACACAUCAGUGUAUUGCUUGUCAGUGAAUACAUAGCUGGCCGGCGGCAGACGCGGGGA
rnacentral:misc_RNA from 1 species